rnacentral:rRNA from 1 species
GACAGAGGGUGCAAACGUUGUUCGGAAUUACUGGGCGUAAAGCGAGUGUAGGCGGUCUCCUAAGUCGGGUGUGAAAGCCCCGGGCUCAACCCGGGAAGUGCACUCGAAACUGGGAGGCUAGAGUAUCGGAGAGGUUGGUGGAAUUCUCGGUGUAGAGGUGAAAUUCGUAGAUAUCGAGAGGAACACCGGUGGCGAAGGCGGCCAACUGGACGAAUACUGACGCUGAGACUCGACAGCGUGGGGAGCAAACAGG